AUGAACGCUGGCGGCGUGCUUAACACCUGCAAGUCGAACGAUGAAGCCCAGCUUGCUGGGUGGAUUAGUGGCGAACGGGUGAGUAACACGUGAGUAACCUGCCCUUAGCUCUGGGAUAAGCCUGGGAAACUGGGUCUAAUACCGGAUAGGAGCGCCUACCGCAUGGUGGGUGUUGGAAAGAUUUAUCGGUUUUGGAUGGACUCGCGGCCUAUCAGCUUGUUGGUGAGGUAAUGGCUCACCAAGGCGACGACGGGUAGCCGGCCUGAGAGGGUGACCGGCCACACUGGGACUGAGACACGGCCCAGACUCCUACGGGAGGCAGCAGUGGGGAAUAUUGCACAAUGGGCGAAAGCCUGAUGCAGCGACGCCGCGUGAGGGAUGACGGCCUUCGGGUUGUAAACCUCUUUCAGUAGGGAAGAAGCGAAAGUGACGGUACCUGCAGAAGAAGCACCGGCUAACUACGUG
rnacentral:rRNA from 1 species